AUUGAACGCUGGCGGCAGGCCUAACACAUGCAAGUCGAGCGGAUGAAGGGAGCUUGCUCCUGGAUUCAGCGGCGGACGGGUGAGUAAUGCCUAGGAAUCUGCCUGGUAGUGGGGGAUAACGUCCGGAAACGGGCGCUAAUACCGCGUACGUCCUGAGGGAGAAAGUGGGGGAUCUUCGGACCUCACGCUAUCAGAUGAGCCUAGGUCGGAUUAGCUAGUUGGUGGGGUAAAGGCCUACCAAGGCGACGAUCCGUAACUGGUCUGAGAGGAUGAUCAGUCACACUGGAACUGAGACACGGUCCAGACUCCUACGGGAGGCAGCAGUGGGGAAUAUUGGACAAUGGGCGAAAGCCUGAUCCAGCCAUGCCGCGUGUGUGAAGAAGGUCUUCGGAUUGUAAAGCACUUUAAGUUGGGAGGAAGGGCAGUAAGUUAAUACCUUGCUGUUUUGACGUUACCAACAGAAUAAGCACCGGCUAACUUCGUA
rnacentral:rRNA from 1 species